ACUGAUUAGGAAGCCUUAGUUGUAGAGAAAACUCACCUCACUAAUCCUUCAUCAUUUUUCUCUUAAGAAGCUCCCUUUUGUUUUUCUCAAAGAAGUCCAAUCUUGGUUUCAAGACCAAAAUCUUCACCUCACCUUCUGAGUUUCUUAAGUAGCGAUUAGACGCUUGGGGAGAAUGGGGUGAUUCUCUAAAUAAAUGAAUGUUUUAUUUUCUACUGCUUUCUCAAAAGAAAUAAUGUAAUAUAUUUUGUUCAGCUUUAGUGUUGUAAAAAUAAUAAUUUCAAUUUCUAAUAAAAGUAUUAUUCAGAUAUGUAUAUAA